rnacentral:misc_RNA from 1 species
AUGAAGAACGCAGCGAAAUGCGAUAACUAGUGUGAAUUGCAGAAUUCCGUGAAUCAUCGAGUCUUUGAACGCACAUUGCGCUCCCUGGUAUUCCGGGGGGCAUGCCUGUCCGAGCGUCAUUGCUGCCCAUCAAGCACGGCUUGUGUGUUGGGUCGUCGUCCCCCCCUCCGGGGGGGGACGGGCCCUAAAGGCAGCGGCGGCACCGCGUCCGAUCCUCGAGCGUAUGGGGCUUUGUCACCCGCUCUGUAGGCCCGGCCGGCGCUUGCCGAACGCAAAACAACCAUUCUUUCCAGGUUGACCUCGGAUCAGGUAGGGAUACCCGCUGAACUUAAGCAUAUCAAUAAGCGGAGGA